rnacentral:rRNA from 1 species
AUGCUCCUUGAAGUCUUCACCGGAAAAAGACCCACUGAUGUCAUGUUUGGCGCACAACUAACUCUUAGGCAGUGGGCUCAUCGGGCAUUUCCUACGGAUCUUGUCCAGGUCGUUGACGGCCAACUUCUACAUGACUCCUCAAUUUCAGGCUGCAGAUUGGACUAUGGCUUCUUAGCGUCAGUCUUUGAGGUGGGUUUGCACUGUUCCAGUGACUCUCCUGACCAGAGGAUGACAAUGCACGACGUGGUCGUGACGCUGAAGAAGAUCAAAGCCGAGUACACAAAACUGGUAGCAGCUAUGUCAACUAGUGCAACACAGUGA